rnacentral:ncRNA from 1 species
GGGAAGCCGGUCAAAAUCCGGCGCUGUCCCGCAACCGUGGGUUGAGAACCUUUUCGAAGAUUCUCAACAAGUCGGAAUGCC